UGUGUGGUGGCCCGGUUCCUAACAGGAACCAGAGUUUGGGGACCCCUGUUUUAGAGAGUCAGUUGCAGGGUCCCAGUAAUUUCCUUUUCCUCAAGUUUUCAUAAUACAUUUUCAAGUUUUUCCAGAUCAUCUGUGUAAAAAUCACCUGGAAUGCUUGUUAAAAAUUCAUAUCCUUGGACCCUUCCUUCCCCCAUCUCUCACCAAUCAGAAUAUCUGGGAACUGCCUAGGAACUGCAUUUAACAGGCACCCAGGCGGAAUGCAGUGGUAGAGUCAUGGCUCAUUGCAGCCUCAACCUCCUGGGCUCAAUUGAUCCUCCUGCCUCAGCCUUCUGAGUAGCUGGGACUACAGGUCUUUGGAAUGGCAUCUCUUCAUAUGCAACGUAGAAUAUAUGCUUACUAUAUUAGUCCACUUUGUGUUGCUAUGAAGAAAUACCUGAGGCUGGGUAAUUAUAAAGAAAAGAAGUUUAAUUGUCUCAGAGUUCUUCAGGCUGUACAGGAAAUGUGGUGCCAGCAUCUGCUUCUGAUGUGAAAGGGCCACCCACCCACCGUCUGUCUUGUGGUCAGUCACCCUACACCGAGACAACAACAUGGGAGCGGAAGUAUUGCAUCCUCACAGACAGCCAGUUGGUAUUGCUCAACAAGGAGAAGGAGAUACCUGUGGAAGGGGGACAGGAGCAGCAGACAGAUGCCACCAAAGGGCGAUGCCUGAGGAGAA
rnacentral:sRNA from 1 species